GGAUCAUUAAAGAGUGUAAUAAAACUCCUAAACCCCUGUGAACUUAUAUUGGUUUGACGCAGCAGAUAGCGUCUACCUCGCGGGCUCCUACCUUGGUAAGAGCUUGCAAGGUGGGCGCAGGUCUGUUUUUCCAUAUUCGUAAGGCUCUCUCUUUUAUUAGAGAGCGGUCUGCGCAGUGGACGCAGUUAGUUACUUACGUUGCGACAUCGCAAGCGUUAUUGUACAAAUACUGUGGAGGUCACAUAAACCUGUUUACUGUUAUAAUCUGAAAUAUAUAAAACAAGUUAAAACUUUCAACAACGGAUCUCUUGGUUCUGGCAUCGAUGAAGAACGCAGCGAAAUGCGAUAAGUAAUGUGAAUUGCAGAAUUCAGUGAAUCAUCGAAUCUUUGAACGCACAUUGCGCCCAUUAGUAUUCUAGUGGGCAUGCCUGUUCGAGCGUCAUUUCAACCCUUAAGCCCCUGUUGCUUAGCGUUGGGAGCCUACAGCCUGCUGUAGCUCCUUAAAGGUAGUGGCGGAGUCGGUUCACACUCUAGACGUAGUAAAAUCUUUAUCUCGCCUAUAGAUGAGCCGGCGCCUUGCCGUAAAACCCCUACUCUUUCACAAGGUUGACCUCGGAUCAGGUAGGAAUACCCGCUGAACUUAAGCAUAUCAAUAAGCGGAGGAAAAGAAACCAACAGGGAUUGCCCUAGUAACGGCGAGUGAAGCGGCAACAGCUCAAAUUUGAAAUCUGGCCUUCGGGUCCGAGUUGUAAUUUGCAGAGGAUGCUUUGGGCGCGGUGCCUUCCGAGUUCCCUGGAACGGGACGCCUUAGAGGGUGAGAGCCCCGUACGGUUGGACACCAAGCCUCUGUAAAGCUCCUUCGACGAGUCGAGUAGUUUGGGAAUGCUGCUCUAAAUGGGAGGUAAAUUUCUUCUAAAGCUAAAUAUUGGCCAGAGACCGAUAGCGCACAAGUAGAGUGAUCGAAAGAUGAAAAGCACUUUGAAAAGAGGGUUAAAUAGCACGUGAAAUUGUUGAAAGGGAAGCGUUUGCGACCAGACCUUUUCCCAGCGGAUCAUCCGGUGUUCUCACCGGUGCACUUCGCUGGGUUGAGGCCAGCAUCGGUUUCCGCAGGGGGAUAAAAGCCUGGGGAACGUAGCUCCCUCGGGAGUGUUAUAGCCCCUCGCAUAAUACCCUUGCGGGGACCGAGGACCGCGCU
rnacentral:rRNA from 1 species